UUUAGCUUUUAAGAGGAUAGCUUGGUGCUGGUUUAGAAUUCUGAGAGUGGGUGUGUGUGCUUGCCUUUAGAAGUACUUUAGCUCUUGAGCUUAAGGUUUUCUUGGUGGCCAUAGUUGCAGUCCUGGGAUCUUGCUUCCUCUUUGGUUGGAGAUUCGGUAGAGAAUCUUAGUGCGUGGGACUUGGUGAACCCGACAGUGUAGCUCGGAGCCAGAUUUUUAGUACAUCUCCAUUUCUGGCUCACCCAAACUAGGAGGAGCAACUCCUAGCCAUGUGCACAUGUUUUUCUGUAGUAGCGCUACCGGACAUGCGUGUCCGUUCCAACUACAGUCGAAGAUCCAGCUCUUGCUAUUGAUAUUCUAUUCUGUCCCGACUUCACAGUCGAUGAUCCGACUUCGUCUUUGUU